GAUGAACGCUGGCGGCGUGCCUAAUACAUGCAAGUCGAGCGAACGGACGAGAAGCUUGCUUCUCUGAUGUUAGCGGCGGACGGGUGAGUAACACGUGGAUAACCUACCUAUAAGACUGGGAUAACUUCGGGAAACCGGAGUUAAUACCGGAUAAUAUUUUGAACCGCAUGGUUCAAAAGUGAAAGACGGUCUUGCUGUCACUUAUAGAUGGAUCCGCGCUGCAUUAGCUAGUUGGUAAGGUAACGGCUUACCAAGGCAACGAUGCAUAGCCGACCUGAGAGGGUGAUCGGCCACACUGGAACUGAGACACGGUCCAGACCCCUACGGGAGGCAGCAGUAGGGAAUCUUCCGCAAUGGGCGAAAGCCUGACGGAGCAACGCCGCGUGAGUGAUGAAGGUCUUCGGAUCGUAAAACUCUGUUAUUAGGGAAGAACAUAUGUGUAAGUAACUGUGCACAUCUUGACGGUACCUAAUCAGAAAGCCACGGCUAACUACGUGCCAGCAGCCGCGGUAAUACGUAGGUGGCAAGCGUUAUCCGGAAUUAUUGGGCGUAAAGCGCGCGUAGGCGGUUUUUUAAGUCUGAUGUGAAAGCCCACGGCUCAACCGUGGAGGGUCAUUGGAAACUGGAAAACUUGAGUGCAGAAGAGGAAAGUGGAAUUCCAUGUGUAGCGGUGAAAUGCGCAGAGAUAUGGAGGAACACCAGUGGCGAAGGCGACUUUCUGGUCUGUAACUGACGCUGAUGUGCGAAAGCGUGGGGAUCAAACAGGAUUAGAUACCCUGGUAGUCCACGCCGUAAACGAUGAGUGCUAAGUGUUAGGGGGUUUCCGCCCCUUAGUGCUGCAGCUAACGCAUUAAGCACUCCGCCUGGGGAGUACGACCGCAAGGUUGAAACUCAAAGGAAUUGACGGGGACCCGCACAAGCGGUGGAGCAUGUGGUUUAAUUCGAAGCAACGCGAAGAACCUUACCAAAUCUUGACAUCCUUUGACAACUCUAGAGAUAGAGCCUUCCCCUUCGGGGGACAAAGUGACAGGUGGUGCAUGGUUGUCGUCAGCUCGUGUCGUGAGAUGUUGGGUUAAGUCCCGCAACGAGCGCAACCCUUAAGCUUAGUUGCCAUCAUUAAGUUGGGCACUCUAAGUUGACUGCCGGUGACAAACCGGAGGAAGGUGGGGAUGACGUCAAAUCAUCAUGCCCCUUAUGAUUUGGGCUACACACGUGCUACAAUGGACAAUACAAAGGGCAGCGAAACCGCGAGGUCAAGCAAAUCCCAUAAAGUUGUUCUCAGUUCGGAUUGUAGUCUGCAACUCGACUACAUGAAGCUGGAAUCGCUAGUAAUCGUAGAUCAGCAUGCUACGGUGAAUACGUUCCCGGGUCU
rnacentral:rRNA from 1 species